rnacentral:rRNA from 1 species
UACGAAGGGUGCAAGCGUUACUCGGAAUUACUGGGCGUAAAGCGUGCGUAGGUGGUUGUUUAAGUCUGCUGUGAAAGCCCCGGGCUCAACCUGGGAACUGCAUUGGAAACUGGCAAGCUCGAGUAUGGCAGAGGGGGGUGGAAUUCCGCGUGUAGCAGUGAAAUGCGUAGAGAUGCGGAGGAACACCGAUGGCGAAGGCAGCCCCCUGGGCCAAUACUGACGCUCAGGCACGAAAGCGUGGGGAGCAAACAGG